GAGCCUGGCCGGAGCCAACAAGUACUGCUAAUAUCUGCCACCAUGGUUCAACUCCAUGGCUUGCUCG
rnacentral:tRNA from 1 species